CGGCCUCGUCGCGCGGGCGCUCCUGCGCUCGUGGCGCGGACCCGGCGGACCCGAGGACGUCCUGUGACGGUCCGGUCCGCCGAGCACGGC
rnacentral:tRNA from 1 species